rnacentral:rRNA from 1 species
UGGGGAAUAUUGCACAAUGGGCGAAAGCCUGAUGCAGCAACGCCGCGUGAGCGAUGAAGGCCUUCGGGUCGUAAAGCUCUGUCCUCAAGGAAGAUAAUGACGGUACUUGAGGAGGAAGCCCCGGCUAACUACGUGCCAGCAGCCGCGGUAAUACGUAGGGGGCGAGCGUUGUCCGGAAUGACUGGGCGUAAAGGGCGUGUAGGCGGUCUGAUAAGUCUGGAGUGAAAGUCCUGUUUUUAAGGUGGGAAUUGCUUUGGAUACUGUCGGACUUGAGUGCGGAAGAGGUAAGUGGAAUUCCCAGUGUAGCGGUGAAAUGCGUAGAGAUUGGGAGGAACACCAGUGGCGAAGGCGACUUACUGGGCCGUAACUGACGCUGAGGCGCGAAAGCGUGGGGAGCGAACAGG